rnacentral:rRNA from 1 species
UGAGUACGAGAUGCUACGGCAUCGAAGCAGUCUAUGUCAUACUUCCAAGAAAAGCUUGCACUGUCAUAAACAAAGAAUGCCUGUACCAUAACCGACACAGGUGGGUAGGUAGAGUAUACCAAGGGGCGCGAGAUAACUCUCUCUAAGGAACUCGGCAAAAUGACUCCGUAACUUCGGGAGAAGGAGUGCCUUAUUUAUAAGGUUGCAAUAACAAGAUCCAAGCAACUGUUUACCAAAAACACAGGUCUCCGCGAAGUCGUAAGACGAUGUAUGGGGGCUGACGCCUGCCCAGUGCCAGAAGGUUAAAGAAGUUGGUUAGCAUUCGCGAAGCUGAUAACUGAAGCCCUGGUGAACGGCGGCCGUAACCAUAACGGUCCUAAGGUAGCGAAAUUCCUUGUCGGGUAAGUUCCGACCCGCACGAAAGGCGUAAUGAUUUGGAUACUGUCUCGGAGAGGGGCUCGGUGAAAUAGACUUGUCUGUGAAGAUGCGGACUACCUGCACCUGGACAGAAAGACCCUAUGAAGCUUUACUGUAACUUGAAAUUGAAAUUGGACUUUAUUUGCGCAGUAUAGGUGGGAGGCGUUGAGAAUAACCUUACGGGGUUAUUGGAGCCAUCAGUGAGAUACCACUCUUGUAAUGUUAGAUUUCUAACUUUGUAUCAUUAUCUGGUCAAAGAACAGUUUCAGGCGGGCAGUUUGACUGGGGCGGUCGCCUCCCAAACGGUAACGGAGGCGCACAAAGGUUUCCUCUGAACGGGUAGAAAUCGUAUCUAGAGUGUAAAGGCAUAAGGAAGCUUGACUGUGAGACCUACAAGUCGAGCAGGGACGAAAGUCGGUCUUAGUGAUCUGACGGUGCUGAGUGGAAAGGCCGUCACUCAACGGAUAAAAGUUACUCUAAGGAUAACAGGCUGAUCUCCCCCAAGAGUUCACAUCGACGGGGAGGUUUGGCACCUCGAUGUCGGCUCAUCGCAUCCUGGGGCGGUAGUACGUCCCAAGGGUUGGGCUGUUCGCCCAUGAAAGCGGUACGCGAGCUGGGUUCAGAACGUCGUGAGACAGUUCGGUCCAUAUCCGGUGUUGGCGUUAGAAUAUUGAGAGGAGCCUUCUCUAGUACGAGAGGACCGAGAAGGACAUACCUCUGGUGUACCAGUUAUCGUGCCAACGGUAAACGCUGGGUAGCUAUGUGUGGAGUGGAUAACCGCUGAAAGCAUCUAAGUGGGAAGCCCACCUCAAGAUAAG